rnacentral:rRNA from 1 species
GUUAAACGCUGGCGGCAUGCCUUACACAUGCAAGUCGAACGGUAACGGGCCUUCGGGUGCCGACGAGUGGCGAACGGGUGAGUAAUGCAUCGGAACGUACCUUUCAGUGGGGGAUAACGUAGCGAAAGUUACGCUAAUACCGCAUAUUCUGUGAGCAGGAAAGCAGGGGAUCGCAAGACCUUGCGCUGAUUGAGCGGCCGAUGUCAGAUUAGCUAGUUGGUGAGGUAAAGGCUCACCAAGGCGACGAUCUGUAGCGGGUCUGAGAGGAUGAUCCGCCACACUGGAACUGAGACACGGUCCAGACUCCUACGGGAGGCAGCAGUGGGGAAUUUUGGACAAUGGGGGCAACCCUGAUCCAGCCAUGCCGCGUGAGUGAAGAAGGGCCCUCGGGUUGUAAAGCUCUUUUGUCCGGAAAGAAAAGCGCCGGGUUAAUACCCUGGUGUCCUGACGGUACCGGAAGAAUAAGCACCGGCUAACUUCGUGCCAGCAGCCGCGGUAAGCUACGUAGAC